rnacentral:rRNA from 1 species
CCCUUAGAUGUUCUGGGCCGCACGCGCGCUACACUGACGAAUGCAACGAGCUUAUAACCUUGGCCGAAAGGUCUGGGUAAUCUCCAAAUUUCGUCGUGAUGGGGAUAGAUUAUUGCAAUUAUUAAUCUUCAACGAGGAAUGCCUAGUAAGCGCAAGUCAUCAGCUUGCGUUGAUUACGUCCCUGCCCUUUGUACACACCGCCCGUCGCUCCUACCGAUUGAAUGGUCCGGUGAGACUUUCGGACCAUGGCAACGUUGCUUCAUUGGAGCGUCGCCGUGGGAAGUCAUUCAAACCUUACCAUUUAGAGGAAGGUGAAGUCGUAACA